UGGGGAAUUUUGCACAAUGGGGGAAACCCUGAUGCAGCGACGCCGCGUGAUUUAGAAGGCCUUCGGGUUGUAAAAAUCUUUUCUAUGGGAAGAAAAUGACAGUACCAUAGGAAUAAGGACCGGCUAAUUACGUGCCAGCAGCCGCGGUAAUACGUACGGGCCGAGCGUUGUCCGGAAUCAUUGGGCGUAAAGGGUACGUAGGCGGGUAAGCAAGUUAGAAGUGAAAUCCUGUAGCUCAACUACAGUAAGCUUUUAAAACUGCUCGUCAUGAGCUAUGGAAGGGAAAGUGGAAUUCCUGGUGUAGCGGUGAAAUGCGCAGAUAUUAGGAGGAAUACCGGUGGCGAAGGCGACUUUCUGGUCUGUAACUGACGCUGAUGUGCGAAAGCGUGGGGAUCAAACAGG
rnacentral:rRNA from 1 species